UUUGUAGUGUGCUUUUCCUGGACAUAUAAUUUACUGAAUGUUGCCAUGUAAAUAUUUUCUUUUCUCUCUUUUCUCUCCCUACCUGAUCUCUACCAGAAUGUGUUAGUAGUAGAGGACAUUAUUGAGACGGGUAGAACAAUGAAAGCACUACUUUCAAAAAUAAAAGACAAGAAACCAAGGAUGGUUAAAGUUGUAAGCCUGCUUGUUAAAAGGACAUGUCAAAGCCCAGGUUACAGGCCAGACUGUAAGUAUUGUGUUUUUCUGGUUACCCAAAAUACAGUCUCAUAAUUUCACUUCAUGUGGUCUGUCUGACAACUGGCAUAUAAAUUUCAGGAAGGCCAAGAGAAACAGGUGGAAAAUACAUGAAACCCAGUGAACUGAUGAACAGUUACUUCACCCUGAGACCUCAUGACCACUUCAUUGUAUCCCCCUGGCUGGCCUGAGCACAGGAUAAGCUAUUUGAUAAAAAAAUUAAUUUUAAAAAUCAAUAAAUAAAAUAAUUAAAUAUAAAUUUAACUAUUUAGAUACCAGAAACAGAAUCCAACCUUAGCUGUGUAUGGUUUGACUUUGACCCCAGAGGGCAAUUGUUUUGACUCUGUAUUUAACUUGCCUUUUUUUCAAACUGAAAAGUCCUAUUGAGUCGCAGUGCAACUACUUUCACACAAGUAAAAUCUCACUCCUUGUCUCCUCUUUCAGGACUACUUCAUAACUAGGUUUUAAACAAUUAUUUUGUUCAUAAAAUGCAUUCUGUUAGCACUUUAACUGUAUUACUAACUGAUGGGAAUGGUUUAUAUUCUAACCUCUGUUAUCAAUUUACAGCUGAUUCUUAAGGAAUUGUGCUCAGUACCCCGAAAGCUUGACAUUUGUCAGCAAUUGUGCUUAGUUCAAGCAUGAGUUGAAUACAAACUGUGUACUUAAAAACUAUUUACACCACCCGAGUAUAAAAAGAAUUGUACUU